AUUGAACGCUGGCGGCAUGCCUUACACAUGCAAGUCGAACGGCAGCACGGGUGCUUGCACCUGGUGGCGAGUGGCGAACGGGUGAGUAAUACAUCGGAACAUGUCCUGUAGUGGGGGAUAGCCCGGCGAAAGCCGGAUUAAUACCGCAUACGAUCCACGGAUGAAAGCGGGGGACCUUGGGGCCUCGCGCUAUAGGGUUGGCCGAUGGCUGAUUAGCUAGUUGGUGGGGUAAAGGCCUACCAAGGCGACGAUCAGUAGCUGGUCUGAGAGGACGACCAGCCACACUGGGACUGAGACACGGCCCAGACUCCUACGGGAGGCAGCAGUGGGGAAUUUUGGACAAUGGGCGAAAGCCUGAUCCAGCAAUGCCGCGUGUGUGAAGAAGGCCUUCGGGUUGUAAAGCACUUUUGUCCGGAAAGAAAUCCUUGACUCUAAUACAGUCGGGGGAUGACGGUACCGGAAGAAUAAGCACCGGCUAACUACGUG
rnacentral:rRNA from 1 species